CUCGCCCUGGAGGGGGCGCACGCACACCUGGAAAUGUAACCCCGUUCCGACUUCCUUCCGGAGGGCGCAAGUGGGAAUUUUGCCCCAUAAGUGGGAACCCUGACGGCAGCACGCCGCGUGGAGGAUGAAAUCCCUUGGGAUGUAAACUCCUUUUGGAAAGGGAAGAUAAUGACGGUACCGAGAGAAGAAGCCCCGGUUAACUUCGUGCCAGCCAGCCGCGGUAAUUACGAGGGGGGCCAAGCGUUGUUCGGAAUUAUUGGGGCGUAAAGGGUGCGUAGGGCGGUUUGAUAAGUCACAUGUGAAAUCUUCGGGCUCAACCCGAAGUCUGCAUGCGAAACUGUCGGGCUUGAGUAUGGGAGAGGUGAGUGGAAUUUCCGGUGUAGCGGUGAAAUGCGUAGAUAUCGGAAGGGACACCUGUGGCGAAAGCGGCUCACUGGACCAUAACUGACGCUGAUGCACGAAAGCUAGGGGAGCAAGCAGGAUUAGAUACCCUGGUAGUCCUAGCCCUAAACGUAUGAUCGCUCCAUGUGGUGGGUACCCAAUCCCGCCGUGUCGAAGCUAACGCGAUAAGCAAUCCGCCUGGAAGCUUACGGUCGCAAGGCUGAAACUCAAAGGAAUUGACGGGGGCCCGCACAAGCGGUGGAGCAUGUGGUUUAAUUCGACGCAACGCGAAGAACCUUACCUGGGCUCGAAAUGUACGGGACAGCGGUAGAAAUACCGUCUCCUAGCAAUAGG
rnacentral:rRNA from 1 species